rnacentral:rRNA from 1 species
CGGCGGACGGGUGAGUAACGCGUGGGUAACCUGCCUCAUACAGGGGGAUAACAGUUGGAAACGGCUGCUAAUACCGCAUAAGCGCACAGUACCGCAUGGUACGGUGUGAAAAACUCCGGUGGUAUGAGAUGGACCCGCGUCUGAUUAGGUAGUUGGUGGGGUAACGGCCUACCAAGGCGACGAUCCAUAGCCGGCCUGAGAGGGUGAACGGCCACAUUGGGACUGAGACACGGCCCAA